AUUGAACGCUGGCGGCAGGCCUAACACAUGCAAGUCGAGCGGAUGAAUCGAGCUUGCUCCUGGAUUCAGCGGCGGACGGGUGAGUAAUGCCUAGGAAUUUGCCUGGUAGUGGGGGAUAACGUCCGGAAACGGGCGCUAAUACCGCAUACGACCUGUGGGAGCAAGUGGGGGGUCUUCGGACCUCACGCUAUCUGAUGAGCCUAGGUCGGAUUAGAUAGUUGGUGGGGUAAAGGCCUACCAAGGCGGAGAUCCUUAACUGGUCUGAGAGGAUGAUCAGGCACACGGGAACUGAGACACGGUCCAGACACCUACAGGGAGCAGCAGUGGGGAAUAUUGGGCGAUGGACGAGAGCCUGAUACAGCCAUGCCGCGUGUGUGAAGAAGGUCUUCGGAUGGGUAAGCACUUUAAGUUGGGGGGAAGGACAGUAAGUUAAUACCUUGCUGUUUUGACGUUACCAACAGAAUAAGCACCGGCUAACUUCGUG
rnacentral:rRNA from 1 species